AGUAGAUGACGAGCGGCGGACGGGUGAGUAAUGCUUGGGAACAUGCCUUGAGGUGGGGGACAACAGUUGGAAACGACUGCUAAUACCGCAUAAUGUCUACGGACCAAAGGGGGCUUCGGCUCUCGCCUUUAGAUUGGCCCAAGUGGGAUUAGCUAGUUGGUGAGGUAAUGGCUCACCAAGGCGACGAUCCCUAGCUGGUUUGAGAGGAUGAUCAGCCACACUGGGACUGAGACACGGCCCAGACUCCUACGGGAGGCAGCAGUGGGGAAUAUCGCACAAUGGGCGCAAGCCUGAUGCAGCCAUGCCGCGUGUGUGAAGAAGGCCUUCGGGUUGUAAAGCACUUUCAGUCAGGAGGAAAGGUUAGUAGUUAAUACCUGCUAGCUGUGACGUUACUGACAGAAGAAGCACCGGCUAACUCCGUGCCAGCAGCCGCGGUAAUACGGAGGGUGCGAGCGUUAAUCGGAAUUACUGGGCGUAAAGCGUACGCAGGCGGUUUGUUAAGCGAGCUGUGAAAGCCCCGGGCUCAACCUGGGAACUGCAUUUCGAACUGGCAAACUAGAGUGUGAUAGAGGGUGGUAGAAUUUCAGGUGUAGCGGUGAAAUGCGUAGAGAUCUGAAGGAAUACCGAUGGCGAAGGCAGCCACCUGGGUCAACACUGACGCUCAUGUACGAAAGCGUGGGUAGCAAACAGGAUUAGAUACCCUGGUAG
rnacentral:rRNA from 1 species